CGGAAACGCGCGGGUGGCGUCAUUGCGUGGCCCCGCCCACCGCCCUAGGCCACCGCUGCCAGGAAAGCCUCUGUCAUUGGCAAAGAGUGAAGGCUUCUUUUCCAGAUCUCUCCAAAAGAAAUGGAAAAGGCUCAAAAGUGCAAUGGUUCACCCCAGGCCACAGAAAAGGCUGAUGGCAGAGGAAGGAGAAUUACUCAAGCUUUCCUAAUUCCCCCCUGAGCCCUUCACCUCACCACCCCCGCCCCCAACCCCUACAACAAAAUACCUGCUCAAGUCAGGUUGCUUUGCAGUCACAGAAAGUAACCCUUCCAGGUAACUGUGGAGGUGGAGAAAAUUAAGGCCAUCCUACCUCAGCUUUAGCUGAUGUAGGAAACAGAGGCAGAAGAAAAUCAUUAAAAUUCCUUAGCUACUGACAAGCCCUUGAAACAGAGUGAUUCUCUCCUGGGGACUUAACUGCCCUCACCUUGAGGCUUUGCUAAGGACAGUCCUAGCCUGACCAACCACCUACCCCGACAGGUCCCACCAGGAUCCUGUAAAUCUACUUUAGGAAACUUGAUCUCUAAACCUCCAAGAUAGUGUCAGCAACCAUUCCCAAGCAU